ensembl:lncRNA
CAAAACAAUUACACAUUAUUGAGGCAGCCUGUAGGCCUUUGAGUUUAGUUUUAAAAACAUUUAAAGACAACAGUUCAGUCAGUUUCCAGUCUUUCUGUAACAGGUUCCACGAAAAAGGCGCAGAGUGGACAAAGGCUUUCUUACCCAGCUCUGUGUGGACAAGGGGAACAGACAACAGCAGCUGAUCAUUUGAACGUGAAGGAGUCAUCAAUCCAGACACCAAGUUACCUGCAGCCCAGCAGAAGAGCGGAGCUCCAGGAUCCACAUGUGACUCCACCUAUGAGACCAUGACUCCAGCCCCCACAGACCAGGACCACAUCUACUCCACCCUCACCGACACACAGCACACACUUUGCUAAUGCUCAGCAAACCACAGGAUGAUAUUUGAUAGUCUGUACAUAAUAAAAGAAACAGAUCUGUCUGCAUCAGCGAGCUUUGGUUGAAACAGCUGACACAGCUCCAGUGUUUGUGUCCUGUCUCAAGAAAACAAACGUUUUGGUCCCUGAUUAACCGAGCUGCAUUCAGUCCUUUCUGAGGACUACAUUCCUCCGUACGUGUUGAUAAUCUGGAAUUUCAGCAACUGAGAGAAACAUCCUGCCAAUCCUGGCACUUAACAGCGUACACUAUGUUACUCUGUUUGUGUCGGGGGACCCGAUCCUUGCUUAAAGUGUGAUGC